rnacentral:rRNA from 1 species
AUUGAACGCUGGCGGCAGGCCUAACACAUGCGAGUCGAGCGGAUGAAGGGAGCUUGCUCCUGGAUUCAGCGGCGGACGGGUGAGUAAUGCCUAGGAAUCUGCCUGGUAGUGGGGGAUAACGUCCGGAAACGGGCGCUAAUACCGCAUACGUCCUGAGGGAGAAAGUGGGGGAUCUUCGGACCUCACGCUAUCAGAUGAGCCUAGGUCGGAUUAGCUAGUUGGUGGGGUAAAGGCCUACCAAGGCGACGAUCCGUAACUGGUCUGAGAGGAUGAUCAGUCACACUGGAACUGGGACACGGUCCAUACUCCUACGGGAGGCAGCAGUGGGGAAUAUUGGACAAUGGGCGAAAGCCUGAUCCAGCCAUGCCGCGUGUGUUAAGAAGGUCUUCGGAUUGUAAAGCACUUUAAGUUGGGAGGAAGGGCAGUAAGUUAAUACCUUGCUGUUUUGACGUUACCAACAGAAUAAGCACCGGCUAACUUCGUG